UUACCUCUUGAGUUGAACCUCUAUUUAUAAGGCUCUCUUAUUGGGCUUAAGAGUUACUUGGGUCUUUUCUUUUUGCACCUAACAUUUUGAAAACACACACCUGUAUAUUUGGGCCCAUCUUAUGGGCUUUGCUAUAAUCACUAAUUUAAUUUUACUUAUUUACUUUUUAUAUUUAACCUUUCGGUUGAGACUUUCGGUACAACCUUUCGGUCGAGACUUUUGGUACAACCUUUCGGUUGACCUUUCGGCCUAGACAGUACA
rnacentral:lncRNA from 1 species